rnacentral:rRNA from 1 species
CAGUAGCCGCGGUAAUACGGAGGGAGCUAGCGUUGUUCGGAAUUACUGGGCGUAAAGCGCGCGUAGGUGGUUACUCAAGUCAGAGGUGAAAGCCCGGGGCUCAACCCCGGAACUGCCUUUGAAACUAGGUGACUAGAAUCUUGGAGAGGCGAGUGGAAUUCCGAGUGUAGAGGUGAAAUUCGUAGAUAUUCGGAAGAACACCAGUGGCGAAGGCGACUGACUGGACAAGUAUUGACGCUGAGGUGCGAAAGCGUAGGGAGCAAACAGGAUUAGAUACCCCGGUAGUCCCUGUCUCUUAUAC